rnacentral:rRNA from 1 species
GACGAACGCUGGCGGCGUGCUUAACACAUGCAAGUCGAACGGAAAGGCCCUGCUUUUGUGGGGUGCUCGAGUGGCGAACGGGUGAGUAACACGUGAGUAACCUGCCCUUGACUUUGGGAUAACUUCAGGAAACUGGGGCUAAUACCGGAUAGGAGCUCCUGCUGCAUGGUGGGGGUUGGAAAGUUUCGGCGGUUGGGGAUGGACUCGCGGCUUAUCAGCUUGUUGGUGGGGUAGUGGCUUACCAAGGCUUUGACGGGUAGCCGGCCUGAGAGGGUGACCGGCCACAUUGGGACUGAGAUACGGCCCAGACUCCUACGGGAGGCAGCAGUGGGGAAUAUUGCACAAUGGGCGGAAGCCUGAUGCAGCAACGCCGCGUGCGGGAUGACGGCCUUCGGGUUGUAAACCGCUUUCGCCUGUGACGAAGCGUGAGUGACGGUAAUGGGUAAAGAAGCACCGGCUAACUACGUGCCAGCAGCCGCGGUGAUACGUAGGGUGCGAGCGUUGUCCGGAUUUAUUGGGCGUAGAGGGCUCGUAGGUGGUUGAUCGCGUCGGAAGUGUAAUCUUGGGGCUUAACCCUGAGCGUGCUUUCGAUACGGGUUGACUUGAGGAAGGUAGGGGAGAAUGGAGUUCCUGGUGGAGCGGUGGAAUGCGCAGAUAUCAGGAGGAACACCAGUGGCGAAGGCGGUUCUCUGGGCCUUUCCUGACGCUGAGGAGCGAAAGCGUGGGGAGCGAACAGGCUUAGAUACCCUGGUAGUCCACGCUGUAAACGGUGGGUACUAGGUGUGGGGUCCAUUCCACGGGUUCCGUGCCGUAGCUAACGCUUUAAGUACCCCGCCUGGGGAGUACGGCCGCAAGGCUAAAACUCAAAGGAAUUGACGGGGCCCCGCACAAGCGGCGGAGCAUGCGGAUUAAUUCGAUGCAACGCGUAGAACCUUACCUGGGUUUGACAUGGAUCGGGAGUGCUCAGAGAUGGGUGUGCCUCUUUUGGGGUCGGUUCACAGGUGGUGCAUGCCUGUCGUCAGCUCGUGUCGUGAGAUGUUGGGUUAAGUCCCGCAACGAGCGCAACCCUUGUUCACUGUUGCCAGCACGUUAUGGUGGGGACUCAGUGGAGACCGCCGGGGUCAACUCGGAGGAAGGUGGGGAUGACGUCAAGUCAUCAUGCCCCUUAUGUCCAGGGCUUCACGCAUGCUACAAUGGCUGGUACAGAGAGUGGCGAGCCUGUGAGGGUGAGCGAAUCUCGGAAAGCCGGUCUCAGUUCGGAUUGGGGUCUGCAACUCGACCUCAUGAAGUCGGAGUCGCUAGUAAUCGCAGAUCAGCAACGCUGCGGUGAAUACGUUCCCGGGGCU